AGCAGCCGCGGUAAUUCCAGCUCCAAUAGCGUAUAUUAAAGUUGUUGCAGUUAAAAAGCUCGUAGUUGAAUUUCGGGAUCAAUAUGUCGGUCGUGCCUUCGGUACGUACUGGUAUCAUUGGUCUCUCCUUUCUGACGAACCAUGAUGUCAUUAAUUUGGUGUUAUGGGGAGUUAGGACUGUUACUUUGAAAAAUUAGAGUGUUUAAAGCAGGCUUUAGCUUGAAUACAUUAGCAUGGAAUAAUGAAAUAGGACGUUCGAACCUAUUUUGUUGGUUUCUAGGAUCAACGUAAUGAUUAAUAGGGAUAGUUGGGGGCAUUAGUAUUCAAUUGUCAGAGGUGAAAUUCUUGGAUUUAUUGAAGACUAACUACUGCGAAAGCAUUUGCCAAGGAUGUUUUCAUUAAUCAAGAACGAAAGUUAGGGGAUCGAAGACGAUCAGAUACCGUCGUAGUCUUAACCGUAAACUAUGCCGACUAGGGAUCGGAUGAUGUUAAUUUUUUAAUGACUCAUUCGGCGCCUUAC
rnacentral:rRNA from 1 species